UGGCUCUCUUAACAUUCGGUGUUUGCAUCC
rnacentral:piRNA from 1 species